rnacentral:rRNA from 1 species
GACGAACGCUGGCGGCGUGCUUAACACAUGCAAGUCGAACGGAAAGGCCCUGCUUUUGUGGGGUGCUCGAGUGGCGAACGGGUGAGUAACACGUGAGUAACCUGCCCUUGACUUUGGGAUAACUUCAGGAAACUGGGGCUAAUACCGGAUAGGAGCUCCUGCUGCAUGGUGGGGGUUGGAAAGUUUCGGCGGUUGGGGAUGGACUCGCGGCUUAUCAGCUUGUUGGUGGGGUAGUGGCUUACCAAGGCUUUGACGGGUAGCCGGCCUGAGAGGGUGACCGGCCCCCUUGGCACUGGGCUACGGCCCAGACUCCUCCGGGGGGCAGCGGUGGGGAAUUUUGCCCAAGGGGCGGAAUCCUUGUGCAGCAACGCCGCUUGGGGGAUGCCGCCUUUCGGGUUGUAACCCGCUUUCCCCUGUCACGAAGCGUGGGUGCCGUUAAUGGUGAAAGAACCACCGCUUACUUACUU